AGAAACUUUUGUUAUAAAAUCCCAUUGUUGGAUGGGUGAUUUUGAAUAUCUCAAAGAGGCUUUUAACUUGCCAUGAUUAUGGAAGUUUUGGAAAGAGGAUGCCGAGAGUGGCAUUGUUUUGAAAGGAGAAUUUACCUUGAGUAAAAGUGGCUUAUGAGCCUGAGAUGAUUUGAGAAAUGAGAUCUUUAAAGCCAAGGCUGAAAAGAGUUGAAACUUGAUUUCAAAGUGAAAUGAGUUGAGAAAAUGAUUUAUGGCUUAAAUGCCGAUUUCAUGAAUUUGAUGAUUUUGAAUGUGG
rnacentral:lncRNA from 1 species